rnacentral:lncRNA from 1 species
GAGGAGGAACAACAACAACGGUUGUGCCAAAAAGGGCCAUAGCUAGGUACAACCUAUUUGCUGCACAAACUGUGUUGGAUGCACACCUAAGGACAAGGCUAUUUAGAAGUUUGUCAUUUGAAAUAUAGUAGAAGGUACAGCUGUCAGGGACAUUUCCAAAUUGAGUGUCGUUGAUGUCUCUGUGCUUCCCAAACAGUGUAUGAAACUGUAUUACUGCACAAGUUCUGCCGCUCACAGCAAGGUAGUCAGGAAUCAUUCUCAUGAAGCCUAGAGGACCAAACAACUCUGCUCCAAUUUAGAUCUGAGGAUGCUGCCCCAUGAUCUCCAUCAAAGCCUG